rnacentral:rRNA from 1 species
GAUGAACGCUAGCUACAGGCUUAACACAUGCAAGUCGCGGGGCAGCAUGGGGGUUGCUUGCAAUCCCCGAUGGCGACCGGCGCACGGGUGAGUAACGCGUAUCCAACCUGCCCUUCACCACGGGAUAACCCGGCGAAAGUCGGACUAAUACCGUAUGUUGUCCAUUGACGGCAUCCGAUUUGGACGAAAGGUUUGGCGGGGAAGGAUGGGGAUGCGUCCGAUUAGCUGGACGGCGGGGUGACGGCCCACCGUGGCGACGAUCGGUAGGGGUUCUGAGAGGGAGGUCCCCCACACUGGAACUGAGACACGGUCCAGACUCCUACGGGAGGCAGCAGUGAGGAAUAUUGAUCAAUGGGCGUAAGCCUGAACCAGCCAAGUAGCGUGCAGGAGGACGGCCCUAUGGGUUGUAAACUGCUUUUAUGCGGGGAUAAAGUGGCCCACGUGUGGGUUUUUGCAGGUACCGCAUGAAUAAGGACCGGCUAAUUCCGUG